UUUAAAGUGUAAUGUAAGUCGCUUUGGAUAAAAGCGUCUGCUAAAUGACUCUAA
rfam:Gasterosteus aculeatus cont1.007660, whole genome shotgun sequence.